rnacentral:rRNA from 1 species
UACGAGGGACCUAGCGUUGUUCGGAGUCAUUGGGCGUAAAGGGUGCGUAGGCGGCCAAGUAAGUCAGUUGUGAAAGCCCCGGGCUCAACCCGGGAAGUGCUUCUGAUACUGCUUGGCUUGAGUAUUGGAGAGGUGAGUGGAAUUCCAGGUGUAGUGGUGAAAUUCGUAGAUAUCGGGAGGAACACCAGUGGCGAAGGCGGCUCUCUGGACAGGUACUGACGCUGAGACGCGAAAGCGUGGGUAGCAAACAGG